GUAGGUGAACCUGCGGAGGGAUCAUUACAAGAACGCCCGGGCUUCGGCCUGGUUAUUCAUAACCCUUUGUUGUCCGACUCUGUUGCCUCCGGGGCGACCCUGCCUUCGGGCGGGGGCUCCGGGUGGACACUUCAAACUCUUGCGUAACUUUGCAGUCUGAGUAAACUUAAUUAAUAAAUUAAAACUUUUAACAACGGAUCUCUUGGUUCUG
rnacentral:misc_RNA from 1 species